rnacentral:rRNA from 1 species
UACGAGGGGGGCAAAUGUUGUUCGGAAUCACUGGGCGUAAAGGGAGCGUAGGCGGGUUCUCAAGUUAGGUGUUUAAUCCCGGGGCCCAACCCCGGACCGGCACUUAAAACUGGGAAUCUUGAAUAGUGGAGAGGUCGGUGGAAUUGGAGGUGUAGCGGUGGAAUGCGUAGAGAUCUCCAAGAACACCAGUUGCGAAGGCGGCCGACUGGACACAUAUUGACGCUGAGGCUCGAAAGCAUGGGGAGCAAACAGG